CCCUUAGAUGUCCGGGGCCGCACGCGCGCUACACUGAAGGAAUCAGCGUGGCUUUCUCCCUGACCCGAAAGGGUUGGGAAACCCGUUGAAUCUCCUUCGUGAUAGGGAUUGGGGCUUGAAAUUGUUCCCCAUGAACGAGGAAUUCCCAGUAAGCGCGAGUCAUAAGCUCGCGUUGAUUACGUCCCUGCCCUUUGUACACACCGCCCGUCGCACCUACCGAUUGAAUGGUCCGGUGAAGCCUCGGGAUUGUGGCCAGUUCACUUUAUUGGGAGUUGGCUGUGAGAACUUGUCUAAACCUUAUCAUUUAGAGGAAGGUGAAGUCGUAACA
rnacentral:rRNA from 1 species